UACAGAGGUCCCAAGCGUUGUUCGGAUUCACUGGGCGUAAAGGGUGCGUAGGCGGUCGGGUAAGUCUGAUGUGAAAUCUCACAGCUUAACUGUGAAACUGCAUUGGAUACUAUUCGGCCUGAGAGUUGGAGGGGGGACUGGAAUUCUUGGUGUAGCAGUGAAAUGCGUAGAUAUCAAGAGGAACACCAGUGGCGAAGGCGAGUCCCUGGACAACUUCUGACGCUGAGGCACGAAAGCUAGGGGAGCAAACAGG
rnacentral:rRNA from 1 species